GAGGUGCUUCCUUUUGUUUGUUCCCUGGUUUAUAUUGCCAUGUUCCAUUAAACAAGAGCUGCGCACCUACUCCCAAUAGUUAACGUUGCACUGACGGCUGAAACGUUCCUCUCUAUGCAGUUCAUAGGACUCUUAGGUGGUGUUUGCAGUGGCCUCUGGGACCUUUUGAGAAGAAGUGCCUCACAGUCAUUAGGAAGAUGUUUGCGAACUUGUCCUUUUGACUCUUGACCCCAAGUGGUCCUUGUUUGCCUGGGUAUUACUGCACUUUGAAGGCACGCCUACCCAAUCCUGUUAACGAUGAGACUGGUGACCUCUGCCCGGCAGGUCACUUCUGCCCGCCAGGUAGCAGCAAGCCAGAGCUGUGUCCCGCUGGCACGUUUUUACCUCAGUCUGGGAUGGUUUUCCGUAAUGCCUGUCUACCCUGCCCUGGAGGGAAGUUCUGCCAAGGAGAGGGCCUGGCCAGUGUUUCUGGCACGUGUUAUGCUGGGUAUUUCUGUGAUGUUGGAUCCACAGAGCCAAACCGUAAGCACUGCCCCCCUGGCUCCUACUGCCCCGAAGGCUCUGAAUCCCCAGUCCCAUGCAGCCCUGGAAGCUUCAACUCUGACAGUGGAAAAUGGCAGUCAACGGACUGUCAGCUCUGCCCAGCUGGAUACUUCUGCAGUGGUUCUGGAGCACAUACUCCUGAGUUGUGCCCUGCUGGGUACUUUUGUCUGCCGGGGACCAACUUCAGUACGGAGCAUCCGUGUCCAAGAGGUACCUUUGGCACCAGGGCGGGUGCCACCAGUGAGUCUGACUGUGAACCCUGCCCAGCAGGCACGUAUUGCUCGGCACCAGGUCUAUCGCAGCCUUCUGGAUUUUGCCGUUCAGGUUAUCAUUGCACCAAGGGAGCCAUCAGCCCAGCCCCCUUCAAACACAGGGUGGAAUCUGCUGUCUUUGGUCUGCCUGGGAACAACAUCUGUCCUGUGGGGCAUUUCUGCCCCGCUGGAACAGGGUAUCCCAUCCCCUGUCCUCCUGGAUCCUUCUCUGCUUCCCUGGGCCUGGAGGCAGAGGAACAGUGCCAGCCCUGCCCAGCUGGGCGAUACUGCAGCGGGGCAGGACUGUCCAAUCUGGCGCAGACAUCGCUGUGUAACGCAGGGUAUGUUUGUCUGGAAGGAAACUCUUCUCCUAGCCCUUCUGACAGGAUUCACGGAUAUAGAUGUCCCAGUGGCUUCUACUGUCCUGCUGGCACUGGGCUAGAGCUGCCUUGUGAGCCUGGCACGUUCAGCCCUGUGCCUGGGGCAAAUGUCUGCCUUCCUUGCCCAGCUGGUAUGACCUGCAGCAACGCUGCCACUGUGAAGCCGCUCCACUGCCCCAGAGGUGAGGAAUUACGUGUGUGCAGCGAAGCCCCUAACUCAGGGAGGGAGGUGGGAUGGAUACCUGCAUACCUCUUUCUGCCUGAGCCACAGCAGUGCAUGACUCCAGGGAAGUGGGGUGUUUGCCAUUAGUUUGAGCAAGCUCAGCGUUCCCACCUCUUCCUCCUUCCUGUUAUGAGCAGUGUCUAACUCGUCUCUUUCGAUGUACAGGUUACUAUUGCCCUAUUCGGACUGCUGCCCCACUGCCCUGCCCCGAGGGCACGCUGAACCCUGUGGAGGGGUCAUUGUCCCCCGCUGCCUGCAAGCUGUGCCCAGUGGGGAGAUACUGCAGGGGGGAUGCUAACUGGGAGCCUGACGGUGAGUUUGGUUAAUACAGGACCACCCACGACAGAGGGGUUGGAGAUUUCUGGGCUGAACGAGGCAGGAAGUAGAGAAAAAAUACCUCUGCGAGCAGAGAUGGCAAAGGCUUUUGGAGGGCAUCCUCAUACCCUGUUUUUGUGCCUAUCAGUCAUUCCCUUUCUCUGUGUCAUUCUUUUAAUUUGUUCUGGAUCUGCUGCCUUCUCCUGUGUUGCUUUCCUUGUCUUCCUUCUUGCUCCACAUUCUUUCUGUGGCUUUUUCUCUUGCUGUGUUUUUUUUUUUUUUUUUUAACCCUUUCAUCACUUUUCUUUCUGACCUCCUAAAUCUGCGCUCUCUCUCCCACUUGAGCACAGAAUAACUGUGUGGCUUGGCUGUGCCAAAAUGCAAAGAUUGGACA
rnacentral:lncRNA from 1 species